rnacentral:rRNA from 1 species
GACGAACGCUGGCGGCGUGCUUAACACAUGCAAGUCGAACGGAAAGGCCCUGCUUUUGUGGGGUGCUCGAGUGGCGAACGGGUGAGUAACACGUGAGUAACCUGCUCUUGACUUUGGGAUAACUUCAGGAAACUGGGGCUAAUACCGGAUCGGAGCUCCUGCUGCAUGGUGGGGGGUGGAAAGUUUCGGCGGUUGGGGAUGGACUCGCGGCUUAUCAGCUUGUUGGUGGGGUAGUGGCUUACCAAGGCUUUGACGGGUAGCCGGCCUGAGAGGGUGACCGGCCACAUGGGGACUGAGAUACGGCCCAGACUCCUACGGGAGGCAGCAGUGGGGAAUAUUGCACAAUGGGCGGAAGCCUGAUGCAGCAACGCCGCGUGCGGGAUGACGGCCUUCGGGUUGUAAACCGCUUUCGCCUGUGACGAAGCGUGAGUGACGGUAAUGGGUAAAGAAGCACCGGCUAACUACGUG